CAUCAGAUGUCUGAAAGCAAGUAAAGGUCUCUUAAACCUAGUAUAGUAACAUAGCACUUACUUCUGAUG
rnacentral:tRNA from 1 species